UAAGGNCUUCCCNAUGGGCGAANCCUUUUCCCAGCACGCCGCGUGAGUGAAGACGGAUUUCGGUUCGUAAAACUCUGUUGUAAGGGAAGAACAAGUACAGUAGUAACUGGCUGUACCUUGACGGUACCUUAUUAGAAAGCCACGGCUAACUACGUGCCAGCAGCCGCGGUAAUACGUAGGUGGCAAGCGUUGUCCGGAAUUAUUGGGCGUAAAGCGCGCGCAGGUGGUUUCUUAAGUCUGAUGUGAAAGCCCACGGCUCAACCGUGGAGGGUCAUUGGAAACUGGGAGACUUGAGUGCAGAAGAGGAUAGUGGAAUUCCAAGUGUAGCGGUGCAAAUGCGUAGAGAUUUGGAGGAACACCAGUGGCGAAGGCGACUAUCUGGUCUGUAACUGNACACUGNAGGCGCGAAAGCGUGGGGAGCAAACGGAUUAGAUACCCUUGGGUAGUCCACGCCGUAAACGAUGAAUGCUAAGUGUUAGGGGGUUUCCGCCCCUUAAUGCUGCCAGCUNAACCCAUUAANCCCUCCGCCUGGGGGAUUNCGGUCNCAAGACUGAAACUCAAAGGAAAUUGACGGGGGCCCCCNCAACCGAUGNAUCCUGUGGUUUUAAUUCCCAACCAUCACNNAAGAACCUUACCAGGCUCUUUGANAUCCC
rnacentral:rRNA from 1 species